GACAGAGGGUGCAAACGUUGUUCGGAAUUACUGGGCGUAAAGCGCGUGUAGGUGGCCAGGCAAGUCGGGUGUGAAAGCCCCGGGCUCAACCCGGGAAGUGCACUCGAAACUGCUUGGCUCGAGUGCCGGAGAGGGAAGCGGAAUUCUCGGUGUAGAGGUGAAAUUCGUAGAUAUCGGGAGGAACACCGGUGGCGAAGGCGGCGACCUGGGUAGAUACUGACGCUGAGGUGCGAAAGCGUGGGGAGCAAACAGG
rnacentral:rRNA from 1 species